rnacentral:misc_RNA from 1 species
CGUACUCAUCCUGCACGCACGCGGUCUCAUCCGACUGAGAUAUUUCCGCCGCCCUCCCUCUGCUUUUCUUUCUCAGGCGACGUUAUCGCCCAUGUCGCGCGCUCCUCGUCUUCUUCUCUGCUCCUGCCCGCCGCGCGCUCCUCUCCUGCUUUUCCUACGGCGCCCAGUUCCAGUGCAGCGGUCUCCCAGCUCCCUCUGCCGGCCGUCCAUUUCCCCGAGGUCUCGCCCAGCUGCCCCUCCUCUCUCUCUCUCAGCUCACGGCGACCUCCCCUUCCUGCAACGCCGUCCUCCAGCUCGCCGGACCUCCCUGCCCAGCUCGCGCCCAACUCUCUGCGUACGCGCCACCGUCGAGCUCCUCCGCGGUGCUCCGGCUCGUCCCCAUGGCGCCUGCUCGGACCGCGCCCAGCGCCGCGGCUCUCCUCCCUUGCUCCUCCAGCUUGGCCUCCUUCACAUGGCGGCUUCCUCUGCCCGAUCGUCCGCUUCCCAUGGCCAGCGGCGGUAGGGGCCCAGGACAAGGUUUCAAAUAGAGGUCUUUCAAAUUAUUUUUAAUAUAUAAAUGUUACUAAUUAAACACUC